CCUACGGGAGGCAGCAGUAGGGAAUAUUGCUCAAUGGGGGAAACUCUGAAGCAGCAACGCCGCGUGGAGGAUGAAGGUUUUCGGAUUGUAAACUCCUUUUGUUAGAGAAGAUAAUGACGGUAUCUAACGAAUAAGCACCGGCUAACUCCGUGCCAGCAGCCGCGGUAAUACGGAGGGUGCAAGCGUUACUCGGAAUUACUGGGCGUAAAGAGCGCGUAGGCGGGAUAGCAAGUCAGAUGUGAAAUCCUAUGGCUUAACCAUAGAACUGCAUUUGAAACUGUUAUGCUAGAGUAUGGGAGAGGUAGGUGGAAUUCUUGGUGUAGGGGUAAAAUCCGUAGAGAUCAAGAGGAAUACUCAUUGCGAAGGCGACCUGCCAGAACAUAACUGACGCUGAUGCGCGAAAGCGUGGGGAGCAAACAGGAUUAGAUACCCUAGUAGUC
rnacentral:rRNA from 1 species